rnacentral:SRP_RNA from 1 species
GCCAGGUGUGGUGGUGUGCACCUGUAAUCCCAGCUAUGGGGAGGCUGAGGCAGGAGAAUCACUUGAACCCAGGAGGCAGAGGUUGCAGUGAGCCAAGAUCACGCCACUGCACUCCAGCCUGGGUGACAGAGUGAGACUCCGUCUCAA